rnacentral:rRNA from 1 species
UACCAGCUCUCCGAGUGGUGGGGACGCUUAUUGGGCCUAAAGCAUUCGUAGCCGGCUGGGCAAGUCCUCCGUUAAAUCCAACGAUUCAAUCGUUGGCCUGCAGGGGAUACUGUUUGGCUAGGAGGCGGUAGAGGCCGACGGUAUUUCCGGGGUAGGGGUGAAAUCCUAUAAUCCCGGGAGGACCAUCAGUGGCGAAGGCUGUCGGCUGGAACGCGCUCGACGGUGAGGGAUGAAAGCUGGGGGAGCGAACCGGAUUAGAUACCCGGGUAGUCCCAGCUGUAAACUUUGCAGGCUGGGUGUUGGUGCGGCUACGUGCCGCUCCGGUGCCGUAGGGAAACCGUUAAGCCUGCCGCCUGGGAAGUACGGUCGCAAGGCUGAAACUUAAAGGAAUUGGCGGGGGAGCACCACAAGGGGUGAAGCUUGCGGUUU